rnacentral:rRNA from 1 species
AUUGAACGCUGGCGGCAGGCCUAACACAUGCAAGUCGAACGAGUGGCGGACGGGUGAGUAAUGUCUGGGAAACUGCCUGAUGGAGGGGGAUAACUACUGGAAACGGUAGCUAAUACCGCAUACCAUCGGAUGUGCCCAUAUGGGAUUAGCUAGUAGGUGGGGUAAAGGCUCACCUAGGCGACGAUCCCUCGCUGGUCUGAGAGGAUGACAAGCCACACUGGAACGGAGAAACGGUCCAGACUCUUACGGGAGGAAGAAGGGGGGAAUAUUGGAAAAGGGGCGAAAGCCGGAGGCAGCAAUGCCGCGUGUAGGAAGAAGGCCUUCGGGUUGUAAAGUACUUUCAGCGGGGAGGCGUUACCCGAAGAAGAAGCACCGGCUAACUACGUGCCAGCAGCCGCGGUAAUUC